rnacentral:rRNA from 1 species
CAGGGGGGCCCCGUUCCCUUCGGGGGGGGGCACAGUAGGGAAUCUUCCACAAUGGGCGCAAGCCUGAUGGAGCAACACCGCGUGAGUGAAGAAGGGUUUCGGCUCGUAAAGCUCUGUUGUUAAAGAAGAACACGUAUGAGAGUAACUGUUCAUACGUUGACGGUAUUUAACCAGAAAGUCACGGCUAACUACGUGCCAGCAGCCGCGGUAAUACGUAGGUGGCAAGCGUUAUCCGGAUUUAUUGGGCGUAAAGAGAGUGCAGGCGGUUUUCUAAGUCUGAUGUGAAAGCCUUCGGCUUAACCGGAGAAGUGCAUCGGAAACUGGAUAACUUGAGUGCAGAAGAGGGUAGUGGAACUCCAUGUGUAGCGGUGGAAUGCGUAGAUAUAUGGAAGAACACCAGUGGCGAAGGCGGCUACCUGGUCUGCAACUGACGCUGAGACUCGAAAGCAUGGGUAGCGAACAGGAUUAGAUACCCUGGUAGUCCAUGCCGUAAACGAUGAGUGCUAGGUGUUGGAGGGUUUCCGCCCUUCAGUGCCGGAGCUAACGCAUUAAGCACUCGGCCCCGGGCUGCGUUUUCCAACGUCAUACCU